rnacentral:rRNA from 1 species
UACGUAGGGGGCUAGCGUUGUCCGGAAUCAUUGGGCGUAAAGCGCGCGUAGGCGGCCCUGUAAGUCCGUUGUGAAAGUCAAAGGCUCAACCUUUGAAAGCCGAUGGAUACUGCAGGGCUAGAGUUCGGAAGAGGCGAGUGGAAUUCCUGGUGUAGCGGUGGAAUGCGCAGAUAUCAGGAGGAGCACCAAUAGCGAAGGCAGCUCGCUGGGACGAUACUGACGCUAAGGCGCGAAAGCGUGGGGAGCGAACAGG